CCGCAAGGAAGCAGUGGCAGACGGGUGAGUAUAACGUAGAAAUCUACCCCCAGGAGGACCAUAGCUCAUCGAAAGAUGGGGUAAUAGUCCAUGGUCUCGCAAGAGUAAAGCAAUUAACUUUGCGCCCAGGGAGGAGUCUGCGUCCUAUCAGCUAGUUGGUGGGGUAAUGGCCUACCAAGGCAAUGACGGGUAGCUGGACUGAGAGGUCGAUCAGCCACAACUGCACUUAGACACGGGCAGUACACCUACGGGUGGCAGCAACUAGGAAUAUUGGGCAAUGGACGAAAGUCUGACCCAGCGACGCCGCGUGGAGGAUGACAGCCCUCGGGUUGUAAACUCCUUUUAAUAGUUCUUUCACGGACUAUAGAAUAAGCACCUACUAACUACGUGCCAGAAGUCUCGGUAAUACGUAGGGUGCAAGCGUUAUCCGGAUUUAUUGGGCGUAAAGUGUGCGUAGGCGCCUCGACAAGUCGUAUCUUAAAGACCAAGGCUUAACCUUGGGAGUGGAUACGAUACUGACGAGGUUGAGGAUUGUUAGGGAUGUCGGAACAGCUAGUGUAGCAGUGAAAUGCGUUGAUAUUAGCUGGAACACCAAAGGCGAAGACAGACAUCUGGAAUUUUCCUGACGCUGAGGCACGAAAGCUAGGGUAGCGAAACAGAUUAGAUACCUGUGUAGUCCUAGCCGUAAACGAUGUCCGCUAGCUCUGUGUAUUUAUAUAC
rnacentral:rRNA from 1 species